rnacentral:piRNA from 1 species
CUGUUGUGUUCUCUCUGAGGAUGAUU